GGGAUUGGACCUGUGAAAUUGUUGUCAGACAAUGCAAGGUUAGAAAGAGAUCUUAACAAUCCAAUUUCUUGGGGAAUGAAACCAGAGAGUUUGUUGCUGUAAAGGUAAAGAAAAGAUAAGUUUGUCAAAUUUCCUAUUGAAGCAGGGAUUGGACCUGUGAAAUUGUUGUCAGACAAUGUAAGGCUAGAAAGAGAUCUUAACAACCCAAUUUCUUGGGGAAUGGAACCAGAGAGUUUGUUGCUGUAAAGGUAAAGAAAAGAUAAGUUUGUCAAAUUUCCUAUUGAAGCUGGGAUUGGACCUGUGAAAUUGUUGUCAGACAAUGCAAGGCUAGAAAGAGAUCUUAACAAUCCAAUUUCUUGGGAAAUGGAACCAGAGAGUUUGUUGCUGUAAAGGUAAAGAAUGGAUAAGUUUGUCAAAUUUCCUAUUGAAGCAGGGAUUGGACCUGUUAAAUUGUUGUCAGACAAUCCAAGAUCAGAAAGAGAUCUUAACAACCCAAUUUCUUGAGGAAUGAAAUUAGAGAGUUUGUUGUUAUUAAGGUAAAGAACGGAUAAGUGUAUCAUAUUUCCUAUUGAAGCCGGGAUUGGACCUGUGAAAUUAUUGUAAGACAAUUGAAGAUCAGAAAGUGAUCUUAACAAUCCAAUUUCUUGAGGAAUGGAACUAGAGAGUUUGUUGUUGUAAAGGUAAAGAAAGGAUAAGUUUGUCAAAUUUCCUAUUGAAGCAGGGAUUGGACCUGUGAAAUUGUUGUUAGACAAUGCAAGGCUAGAAAGAGAUCUUAAUAACCCAAUUUCUUGGGGAAUGGAACCAGAGAGUUUGUUGUUGUAAAG
rnacentral:lncRNA from 1 species